rnacentral:tRNA from 2 species
GUUAAUGUAGCUUAAUAUAAAGCAAGGCACUGAAAAUGCCUAGAUGGGUUCAUAGAAUCCCAUAAACA